rnacentral:rRNA from 1 species
AACGAACGCUGGCGGCAUGCCUAACACAUGCAAGUCGAACGAGACCUUCGGGUCUAGUGGCGCACGGGUGCGUAACGCGUGGGAAUCUGCCCAAAGGUUCGGAAUAACUCAGGGAAACUUGAGCUAAUACCGGAUACGCCUUACGGGGAAGAUUAUUGCCGAAGGAUCGGCCCGCGUCUGAUUAGCUUGUUGGUGAGGUAACGGCUCACCAAGGCGACGAUCAGUAGCUGGC